rnacentral:rRNA from 1 species
CCUGGACGAAGACUGACGCUCAGGUGCGAAAGCGUGGGGAGCAAACAGGAUUAGAUACCCUGGUAGUCCACGCCGUAAACGAUGUCGACUUGGAGGUUGUGCCCUUGAGGCGUGGCUUCCGGAGCUAACGCGUUAAGUCGACCGCCUGGGGAGUACGGCCGCAAGGUUAAAACUCAAAUGAAUUGACGGGGGCCCGCACAAGCGGUGGAGCAUGUGGUUUA